GCCUUUAAAUGAAAACGAAUUUUUAUUUUAAUUUUAAUGUUGUAGUACCGAAAGUUCUAGAGAGAGUACGAAGAGGACAAGUUGUCGUACCUCCCCCUCUCCCUCUCAGUGUAUCUGAGUAAUAAGGCGGUCCUUCUCCCUCUCCCUAUCUGCUGGUCUGGCACUCUCAAUUCCCUCUUGUGAGUUUCCUCUCAAGGAGGUAGCUCCGCUUCCAAAUGUGGCCUAGUCGGUGGUAGUACUGUUUCGACUUCAAGAACUGGUCCAGAUCGGACUUCACCUUGUUCUUCAGCUCCACGUCCAUCGCCACCGUGUCAAAGCUCGUCGGAUGCGUGAACGGCACCAAGCGCCACUCACCGGUGUCGGAGUUCAUGUACAGCUUGACAUCCUUUUUUCUUCGUUGCUCGAUCUCGUCAGUGACAGAGAGAAUGUGUUGGAAGUACUACCGAAAGACUCUGCGCUUGUCUUUCUUCUUUAGUCGAAGGACGAGUGCGUCUCCAGAAGCGUUGGUCCAGGAGAGCCUGGCGCCGAGGAAGGUGUGAUGAACGGUGUGGUUAGGGUCGAAGUGGAGGAAGAUGUCGGAGGGAUUGGGGCCGGAGAAGAGGUUCGUGUAAUUAGAAUCUUCAAUGGAGGGAAGAGAAUCGAGGUAGGUGAGGAUUUUUCGGUAGAGACUAUUGUCCAAAGAGUGAAGAUUAUAGCGAGGGAUUUUGAAGGACUAGUGAAGGUGGAGACGGUUUUUGAAGCAAAGGAACCAUUGGUUAAGGAUGUGAAGUGCAGAGGUUUUGCAAAAGAAGAAAACGAUUAGAAAAUAGGAGAAGAGGAAGAAGAAAAGGAAAAGCAUGCUAAUUUAAGAAAUCAUGGCAUGAGUGUGUGUAGUUAAUGAAUUGAAUUUCUUGAUAUUGCAGUUGUAGUUGCAGGGUACAAGCAAGCAGGGGAAAGAACUUUGUAUGAGAAAGAGGUUUGAAAGGGUCAGGUCUGUGUCGGCAAUUUUAUUAUUUUCAAUCAAAACAUGUGUUCUUCUUUGGUGUGUUUUGAUUUUCAAGGUUUUUGACUCUUGCUAGCACUGUGCCCACAUUUCUCAAUUAUCGUUAUUAGGAUUUUUGUUGCUCACAUGAUUUCAUAAAGGGGCACUUUACAGAAAAUGACACACUUACAGAUUGUCUCUUUGUUGAAGGAUGACAGUACAUUUAUCCAGGAGUUGUUUGCUAGGCUAAAAUCGCCAACCACCUCUCAAGAAUCAAAGAAGAACUUGCUAAAAAUUAGAGGUCCAAUUACAUAAUGAAGACACAUUCAAAACUAAGCUUCUACCAGGAAUAAAUGAAGCCGCAACUCAAAAUUGCUCUUGCUUUAGUUAUUAGCUUGCUUUGGAUUCAACAAUCAUUUUGUGGCCUUGCGACAUGCUAGACAAAUUGUACAGGAAUCAAGUGGAGAUGUUCAUUAUGGUGGGGGUCGUCAACCUAUUGUCUUGAGGACAUUUAGUCAAAGGCUUCGCAAGCGUUUUGGAGAUAAGCUAAGGCGUUUUGGUCAAGCAAUGAAGCUCAAUAGGACUUUUCUUAAGCGUCGAGUGAGUAGCUAGUGAAAGGUUGUAGAAGGGUGACAAAGGUAAAUUAGGUAAGUUUGGUGAAGUGCAGAAUUGAGUGGUUCGUUAAGCCGCUGUGCGCACUUAGCGAGCCAUCCGCUAAGCGCACCCUCCUUCGGCUGAGCGUGAGGAAGGAUCUGGAAGAAGGAUGAGUUGUACAUGCACGCUAAGCGAGGGUCCAACUCGCUAAGCGCACCGCCUGCAUCCUUCAGCUGAGUGAGAAGAUGUGCGCUAAGCCGCCAGCCACUUAUGCGCGCUAAGCGAGCCAUCUCCGUGCUAAGCGCGCGGCCACCAGCAAGACUGCCUAUUUAAAGCUGAAACCUCAAAAUUGAAGGGGUGAGUGGUUUUUAGAGAGAGAUAUUAGUUUUAGAGAGAGAACCAGCCAAUGGAGAAAGAGAGAUAGUCGAGCUUGAAGAGGAAGACAUCUUGCAGAGCUUUGGAUGAGAUCUUGAGUGAUUGUGAGGUUUCUAGAGGUGGAGGAGACAU